AUUGAACGCUGGCGGCAUGCCUUACACACGCAAGUCGAACGGUAACGGGCCUUCGGGUGCCGACGAGUGGCGAACGGGUGAGUAAUGCAUCGGAACGUACCUUUCAGUGGGGGAUAACGUAGCGAAAGUUACGCUAAUACCGCAUAUUCUGUGAGCAGGAAAGCAGGGGAACGCAAGACCUUGCUCUGAUUGAGCGGCCGAUGUCAGAUUAGCUAGUUGGUGAGGUAAAGGCUCACCAAGGCGACGAUCUGUAGCGGGUCUGAGAGGAUGAUCCGCCACACUGGAACUGAGACACGGUCCAGACUCCUACGGGAGGCAGCAGUGGGGAAUUUUGGACAAUGGGGGCAACCCUGAUCCAGCCAUGCCGCGUGAGUGAAGAAGGCCUUCGGGUUGUAAAGCUCUUUCGGUCGGGAAGAAAUCGCAUGGGUUAAUACCCUGUGCGGAUGACGGUACCGGCAUAAGAAGCACCGGCUAACUACGUGCCAGCCGCCGCAGUAACAC
rnacentral:rRNA from 1 species